CACCGCCGGCUGUACUACUGCCA
rnacentral:siRNA from 1 species